ACUUAUCCAUAUGUAUGGGCAUCAUAUAUAGUAGUGUAUGGUGGCUUUGCCUUGUGGACUACCUACAGGUGGAGAAAACUUAGAAAGACCGAGGACAGAGUACGAGCUCUUCAAGAAAGACUGCGCAAUCUUGUUGAUUCUCAAGACUCUGCAAUUUCGACUUCAACAACUCUUGAAAAGGCUCCCCCUUCCAUUGAUAAGUCCUCCCCCAAAUAGCUUUUCUAAGAAAUUUCACCUCAAGUUCAGAAUAUGAAUCUUCUCUUCCAAAUAUCUUAUCUACUUCAACCUUUUCCUUUCAGAUACAAGGAAAGUGUUUAUGCUCUUAUCAAAUUUACAGCUUUUGGAUCUUCAUUUUAUAUUUUACAGAAUUUAUUAUCUAUCAAAUUUAGCACUAGAGCCAAAUUUGAUUAAAGACAUUAGUGAGUUCUUCAAGGUUUUUUUUUUUUUUUUCCAACUAUUGAUGGCAUUAUGCUUUAUAUUUUUGUUUUUUUGCGCCUAUUCUGUUUGAACUCUCCUUUGAUGAUAUGCAAUGCAUGCCACCAGAUGGGGCAAAAUACAUAGUAUCUGUAGUGUGUAAGCUUCCGAG
rnacentral:misc_RNA from 1 species